rnacentral:rRNA from 1 species
UGGGGAAUAUUGGACAAUGGGCGCAAGGCCUGAUCCAGCCAUGCCGCGUGAGUGAUGAAGGCCUUAGGGUUGUAAACGCUCGUUUCGCCAGGUGAAGAUUAAUGCAGCGGAUAAACCGGGAGAAGGAAGCCCCCGGACCGUAAAACAUUCCCGGUGCCAAGUCCAGCCCGCGGUAAUAACGAAGGGGGCAGUAGCGUUGCUUCGGAAAUCACUGGGCGUAAAGCGCACGUAGGCGGAUCGUUAAGUCAGGGGUGAAAUCCUGGAGCUCAACUCCAGAACUGCCCUUGAUACUGGCGAUCUCGAGUUCGAGAGAGGUUGGUGGAACUCCGAGUGUAGAGGUGAAAUUCGUAGAUAUUCGGAAGAACACCAGUGGCGAAGGCGGCCAACUGGCUCGAUACUGACGCUGAGGUGCGAAAGCGUGGGGAGCAAAACAGGAUUUAGAUACCCCUGGUAGUCCACGCCGUAAAACGAUGGAUGCUAGCCGUUGGGGGUUUGAUCCUCUCAGUGGCGCAGCUAACGCCUUAAGCAUCCCGCCUGGGGAGUACGGUCGCAAGAUUAAAACUCAAAUGAAUUGACGGGGUCAUAGCUGUUUUCCU